UCCACAUCAUCAUCUUUCUUACUGUAAACAAGAGAGAGAAAAGCUCAUCACUCAUACUCUCUCUCUCUCUCACUCACACACACACACUCUCACACACACACAGUCACACACACACACACUCUCUCACACACACACACACACACACACACCCCUUCGUUAGCCAUCAUCCAUGGCGGCAUUUGGAGUGAGCGGUGUUGGUAUUGGCUCCAGCUUUUCUCAAUUCCUGCAACCAAUUUCAAUUUUCAAGUCCAAAUGCAGAAGAACAACAACCUCAACAACAACAACUGUUUUCUCGCCGGAUUUCCAACAAUGGCUCCCAACCCUCCUCCAACG
rnacentral:lncRNA from 1 species